UGAAGCAGACACAUGGGAGAACUUUUUGCUGAGAACAGAGACGUAGUGUUUUUCUGGAAGCUGCCUGGAAAAGGGCAUGGGAUAAUUUGCUGAAGCGGAUGCUUGAGAGGACAUGUGUUGUUUAGAAAGGGUAGACAAAUGCACUUCUUGUGGUAUUCCGGCAGCUUCUUGCCACUUCCGUGGACUCUGGCCGAUGUGGCAGAGCCUUUCAGUUGCUUCUGGAUCAAGCCACCACUGCUGUUUCCUUUGGAAUGAACUGCUGAUAUCAUGAUAAUGAAGAUUAGAACCACACUAAAGAACUAUUUCUAAGCAGAUCUGCUUCCCCCAUGUCCUCAUAAUCUUUCUUUUCUACUACCUCUGGUGGGCGGUAGGUUAAAAGGAAGGAUGAAGCAUUUAAGAAUCCUUAUUAAAGUUGGUUUUGGAAAAAUCUAAGCCAACAUCUCUUUCUCAUUUUCUUUUUCUGUCCCCACUUUCUCUGCCUCUAUUCCCUUAACAGGUCCCUGUUCCCUUCCCUUCCCCCACAAUAAACUUCCCUUAAAUUAGGUCUGUCACACAGUAUGAUUUUCCAGGGGGGCCCUUGGCAGGGGUCUGACAGGUACUCUCUUACCCCCGCCACUGCAUUAUAUAAUGUGAGAUUUCAUAAAAGUAAUGAUCGGUGGUUCACUAUUGACAUAAACUGAGGAUGUUCUAGGGUUCUUUCAAGGGAGAUUAAAUGAAUCUGAAACUCAACAAACAAUAAAUAUGUGCUCCUCA